rnacentral:rRNA from 1 species
AUUGAACGCUGGCGGCAGGCCUAACACAUGCAAGUCGAACGAGUGGCGGACGGGUGAGUAAUGUCUGGGAAACUGCCUGAUGGAGGGGGAUAACUACUGGAAACGGUAGCUAAUACCGCAUACCAUCGGAUGUGCCCAGAUGGGAUUAGCUAGUAGGUGGGGUAACGGCUCACCUAGGCGACGAUCCCUAGCGGGUCUGAGAGGAUGACCAGCCACACUGGAACUGGGACCCGGUCCAGACUCUUACGGGAGGCGGCAGUGGGGAAUAUUGGCCAAUGGGGGCAAGCCGGAGGCAGCCAGGCCGCGGGUAUGAAGAGGGCCUUCGGGUUGUAAAGUACUUUCAGCGGGGAGGCGUUACCCGCAGAAGAAGCACCGGCUAACUCCGUGCCAGCAGCCGCGGUAAUUC